UAGGGAAUAUUGGACAAUGGGCGCAAGCCUGAUCCAGCCAUGCCGCGUGAGUGAAGAAGGCCCUCGGGUUGUAAAGCUCUUUUGUUGGGGAAGAAAAGCAGUUGGUUAAUACCCGAUUGUUCUGACGGUACCCAAAGAAUAAGCACCGGCUAACUUCGUGCCAGCAGCCGCGGUAAUACGAAGGGUGCAAGCGUUACUCGGAAUUACUGGGCGUAAAGCGUGCGUAGGUGGUUGUUUAAGUCUGAUGUGAAAGCCCUGGGCUCAACCUGGGAAUGGCAUUGGAUACUGGAUAGCUAGAGUGCGGUAGAGGGUAGUGGAAUUCCCGGUGUAGCAGUGAAAUGCGUAGAGAUCGGGAGGAACAUCCGUGGCGAAGGCGACUACCUGGGCCAGCACUGACACUGAGGCACGAAAGCGUGGGGAGCAAACAGG
rnacentral:rRNA from 1 species